AUUGAACGCUGGCGGCAGGCCUAACACAUGCAAGUCGAACGAGUGGCGGACGGGUGAGUAAUGUCUGGGAAACUGCCCGAUGGAGGGGGAUAACUACUGGAAACGGUAGAUAAUACCGCAUACCAUCGGAUGUGCCCAGAUGGGAUUAGCUAGUAGGUGGGGUAACGGCUCACCUAGGCGACGAUCCCUAGCCGGUCUGAGAGGAUGACCGGCCAAACUGGAACUGAGACACGGUCCAGACGCCUACGGGAGGCAGCAGUGGGGAAUAUUGCGCAAUGGGCGCAAGCCUGACACAGCAAUGCCGCGUGUAUGAAGAAGGCCUUCGGGUUGUAAAGUACUGUCAGCGAGGAGGCGUUACUCGCAGAAGAAGCACCGGCUAACUCCGUGCCAGCAGCCGCGGUAAUUC
rnacentral:rRNA from 1 species